rnacentral:rRNA from 1 species
CAGCCGCCGCGGUAACACCAGCCCCUCGAGUGGUGGGGACUAUUAUUUGGCCUAAAGCGUCCGUAGCUGGCUGUAUCCGUCUCCCGGUAAAUCCGGCGUCCUAAGCGUCGGUUCUCGGGUGAUACCAUACAGCUAGAGGGUGGGAUAGGUGAGCGGUAUUUCUGGGGUAGGGGCGAAAUCCUUUGAUCCCAGGAGGACCACCAGUGGCGAAGGCUGCUCACUAGAACACGCCUGACGGUCAGGGACGAAAGCUGGGGCAGCGAACCGGAUUAGAUACCCGGGUAGUCCCAGCUGUAAACGAUGCUGGCUAGGUGUUGGGGCAGCUACGAGCUGCCUCAGUGCCGCAGAGAAGUUGUUAAGCCUGUCGCUUGGGAAGUACGGCCGCAAGGCUGAAACUUAAAGGAAUUGGCGGGGGAGCAC